AACGAACGCUGGCGGCAUGCCUAACACAUGCAAGUCGAACGAGACCUUCGGGUCUAGUGGCGCACGGGUGCGUAACGCGUGGGAAUCUGCCCUGGGGUGCGGAAUAACUCGGAGAAAUCCGUGCUAAUACCGCAUAAUGUCUUCGGACCAAAGAUUUAUUGCCCUGGGAUGAGCCCGCGUAGGAUUAGCUAGUUGGUGAGGUAAAGGCUCACCAAGGCGACGAUCCUUAGCUGGUCUGAGAGGAUGAUCAGCCACACUGGGACUGAGACACGGCCCAGACUCCUACGGGAGGCAGCAGUGGGGAAUAUUGGACAAUGGGCGAAAGCCUGAUCCAGCAAUGCCGCGUGAGUGAUGAAGGCCUUAGGGUUGUAAAGCUCUUUUACCAGGGAUGAUAAUGACAGUACCUGGAGAAUAAGCUCCGGCUAACUCCGUGCCAGCCGCCGCCGUAAUAC
rnacentral:rRNA from 1 species